GAUCUGAGUCACUAGCUUUUAUUGUUUUGUUUUGAUUGUAGACCUAAAAGCCUCAAGCCUGGCUAUUAUUAAUUUACUUUCAGGCAAACACACUGAUUUUUUUUCAAGGCUUGUUAGACAACAACCAUGAAUUCUUGUGUGCUUUGGUAAUAUGUAUUUACUGUGUAUGAAGACAAGAGAAAGUGCAAGUAGUUUUCUUUUUCCUUUUGAAAUAAGAUUGUUGCCUUGACCUGUGCCUUUUGUACUGUAAUUGAUACAGUGGUGUCCCCGGUGUUUCUCCUGCUCCCUGCGUGAGGUCAGCACACUUCCUGCCAAUGUGAACUCUGAACCCAUCACCACCUCUCUGCCCUCUACCCUCCAAUCAAUCACUCAGCAGGAGCCACAGCUUGGGCCCUGAUUUUCCCACCAUAUUGAGUGACGGCUGUGGUCUGGAAUUGCUCUACCCCACACCCCUCAUCUCUUGGGGCUCUGGAUGGAGGAAUGUGGCAGGCUUUGGAAGAAGACAAGCCUGCAGCUCAACGCCCUUCUCCCUCCCAACUUUCCCUGUCUGCUCGCCCUUAUCCCAGUCACGCACAGCUAAUCCCAGGCAUCUAUUGAGUAUAUGUAUGGAUGCCGUGCACAGUGUUGAUUGAUUGGGAUCUGUGAUAAGGAGCAGCAUGGACAGCCCAGCAUUAAGUGAGGGGGAAUAGGUGGCUGCUGAGUAUAGGCACUCUGACAAGCAAAGAGAGAAGAGAGGAAAGACGAGGGGUUAGAGCCUGGCAGGUGUACAGAGGAUCCUUCGAUACGCUGAUGACACCCCCACCUGGAUCUGACAGAACUGACCAUAUCUGCUGAUACUCCGUGGGAAGCUGGCUGAGGAAGGAAUGUUGAAAGAGGACAUCUGUUUGGACACCAAGGCCACCACACAGCGCUCAGACACCUGGAAGACAAAGGCCAGUAGGACUAUAAUGACGAUGAUGAGGAGCAGCCCUCCUCCAGCUGUGAUGCUGAAGAUGGCAGGAAGGGUGAGCAAGCUGUCAGAGCGGAUGUGAACCUCUCCUGGAGAGAUGUGGAGUCCUCC